CUCUAGGGACAAGUCCCUUGGAACAGGGCAUCGUAGAGGGUGAAAAUCCCGUACUUGCCAUGGAAGUACCGUGCUUUGUGAUACACGCUCCAAGAGUCGAGUAGUUUUGGGAUUGCUGCUCAAAGUGGGUGGUAGACUCCAUCUAAAGCUAAAUAUCGGGGAGAGACCGAUAGCGAACAAGUACCGUGAGGGAAAGAUGAAAAGCACUUUGGAAAGAGAGUUAAAAGUACGUGAAAUUGUCGAAAGGGAAGCACUUGAAGUCAGCCAUGCUGCUUGAGACUCAGCCUGGCUUUUGCUUGGUGUAUUUCUCGGUAGCAAGCCAGCAUUGGUUUGUGUCGUCGGAGAAGCGCAUGAGGGAGGUGGCAUCCUCGGAUGUGUUAUAGCCCUGUGCUCUUUUUUUUUUACGUAGACCAAGGAACGCAG
rnacentral:rRNA from 1 species